GAUGAAGAACGCAGCGAAAUGCGAUACUUGGUGUGAAUUGCAGAAUCCCGUGAACCAUCGAGUCUUUGAACGCAAGUUGCGCCCGAAGCCACUAGGCCGAGGGCACGCCUGCCUGGGCGUCACACGUCGUUGCCCCCCCCCAUCUACUCCUUCGGGAUUGCGGGGGGCGGAUGAUGGCCUCCCGUGCGCCUAGCCGCGCGGUUGGCAUAAAUACCAAGUCCUCGGCGACGCACGCCACGACAAUCGGUGGUUGCGAAACCUCGGUUGCCCGUCGUGUGCGUUCGUCGCGCAUCGAGGGCUCGAAAAAAUGCCCGGCUCCGGCUCGGCUUUCAACGCGACCCCAGGUCAGGCGGGGUUACCCGCUGAAUUUAAGCAUAUCAAUAAGCGGAGGA
rnacentral:misc_RNA from 1 species